CCUACGGGAGGCAACAGUGAGGAAUAUUGGUCAAUGGACGAGAGUCUGAACCAGCCAAGUAGCGUGAAGGAUGACUGCCCUAUGGGUUGUAAACUUCUUUUAUAAAUGAAUAAAACGAGGCACGUGUGCCUUUUUGCAUGUACUUUAUGAAUAAGGAUCGGCUAACUCCGUGCCAGCCGCCGCGGUAAUACGGAGGAUCCGAGCGUUAUCCGGAUUUAUUGGGUUUAAAGGGAGCGUAGAUGGGUUGUUAAGUCAGUUGUGAAAGUUUGCGGCUCAACCGUAAAAUUGCAAUUGAUACUGGCAGUCUUGAGUACAGUUGAGGUAGGCGGAAUUCGUGGUGUAGCGGUGAAAUGCUUAGAUAUCACGAAGAACCCCGAUUGCGAAGGCAGCUUACUAAACUGUGACUGACAUUGAUGCUCGAAAGUGUGGGUAUCAAACAGGAUUAGAUACCCCUGUAGUC
rnacentral:rRNA from 1 species